GAGGCGUUAGCUUAAUUAAAGUGUCUGAGUUGCAAUCAGAAGAUGUAGAUUAAAGUUUUACAUGCUUUG
rnacentral:tRNA from 1 species